UACGUAGGGUGCAAGCGUUGUCCGGAAUUAUUGGGCGUAAAGCGCGUGUAGGCGGCUUUGCAAGUCGGGUGUGAAAGCCCUCAGCUUAACUGAGGAAGUGCGCCCGAAACUGCAGAGCUUGAGUACUGGAGAGGAUGGCGGAAUUCCCCAAGUAGAGGUGAAAUUCGUAGAUAUGGGGAGGAACACCGGUGGCGAAGGCGGCCAUCUGGACGGAUACUGACGCUGAGACGCGAAAGCGUGGGUAGCAAACAGG
rnacentral:rRNA from 1 species